GCAAGUCGACGGUGAAGAGGAGCUUGCUCCUUGGAUCAGUGGCGAACGGGUGAGUAACACGUGAGCAAUCUGCCCUUGACUCUGGGAUAACUGCGGGAAACUGUAGCUAAUACCGGAUAUUACCUUGGAAGGCAUCUUCUGGGGUGGAAAGAAUUUUGGUCAAGGAUGAGCUCGCGGCCUAUCAGCUAGUUGGUGAGGUAAUGGCUCACCAAGGCGACGACGGGUAGCCGGCCUGAGAGGGUGACCGGCCACACUGGGACUGAGACACGGCCCAGACUCCUACGGGAGGCAGCAGUGGGGAAUAUUGCACAAUGGGCGCAAGCCUGAUGCAGCAACGCCGCGUGAGGGACGAAGGCCUUCGGGUUGUAAACCUCUUUUAGUAGGGAAGAAGCGACUGGGUUUUCCUGGGAGUGACGGUACCUGCAGAAAAAGCACCGGCUAACUACGUGCCAGCAGCCGCGGUAAUACGUAGGGUGCAAGCGUUGUCCGGAAUUAUUGGGCGUAAAGAGCUCGUAGGCGGUUUGUCGCGUCUGCUGUGAAAACCCGAGGCUCAACCUCGGGCCUGCAGUGGGUACGGGCAGACUAGAGUGCGGUAGGGGAGAUUGGAAUUCCUGGUGUAGCGGUGGAAUGCGCAGAUAUCAGGAGGAACACCAAUGGCGAAGGCAGAUCUCUGGGCCGUAACUGACGCUGAGGAGCGAAAGCAUGGGGA
rnacentral:rRNA from 1 species